rnacentral:rRNA from 1 species
UGGCUCAGGAUGAACGCUGGCGGCGUGCCUAACACAUGCAAGUCGAACGGAGUUAUUUUGACGGAUUCCUUCGGGAUGACGGAUUUUUAACUUAGUGGCGGACGGGUGAGUAACGCGUGAGUAACCUGCCUCUAAGAGGGGAAUAACGUUCUGAAAAGAUCGCUAAUACCGCAUAACAUAUUGAAGCCGCAUGACUUUGAUAUCAAAGAUUUAUCGCUUAGAGAUGGACUCGCGUCCGAUUAGCUUGUUGGCGGGGUAACGGCCCACCAAGGCGACGAUCGGUAGCCGGACUGAGAGGUUGAACGGCCACAUUGGGACUGAGACACGGCCCAGACUCCUACGGGAGGCAGCAGUGGGGAAUA